CGCAGCGCCCGGCUGCCUGGCAGCACGCUCAGGGCCAGCGCCACCGCCAGCCCGUGCGUGGCCCACAUCCUCCUCCUCCUCCUCCUCCUCCUCCGCCGCCGCCGCCGCCGCCCGGACUGAACCGCACCCGCCGAGCUGCGCCGCUUUGGGGUACUUGCCGCACGCAGGAGCUUCCCAUUGGCGUGCAGCCCCCGCGCCCUCCCACACGCCACGUUCUCAUUGGGCCAUACGCCUUAGAGCCCAGACGGGCGGCUCCACGCUGCCCUUCCCCAUUGGCUGGUGGCGUCUGGGCCCUAGACAGUUGUCGGCCUCCGAUUGAACCCCAGCAGUGUACAGGAAGUGGCUGCAGCCGCCUCGGAAGCUGCAUGGGCCGCCAUAUUGGAUAGGGGCAGCCGCCUUUGCUGUUGCUGGGAGCCGCGGGCGGAAGUAGGAUCUCGUUGCUGCCCAGCAUCACACUGAGUUGUCCUGCAUUCCACUUGUCCUUGUUCCCUCGCCCGCCCGAGAAAUCCUGCGGCUCCUCCUGAUAGGAGCCGCACUCGUGGCGCAGUCACGUGGGCGAGGGAACCAACCUCUGGGAGUCUGCUGAGGCUCAAGCGUCCGCCUGCCCGCCCCACCUGACUGGAACCCGCUUUGUCCAGGGAGCUCUCUGCAUUUCCUCACAAGCUUCCGACGCAUGCUUGAGCACGCUGGCCCGCUUGCUUUCCAGCUGAGCCAUCAAGGCCCUUGGCUGUCGAGCUACUUCCCGAGUGGGGUCCCGGGGUCAACAGACAAGCACCAGAGGAUGUGUCCUCCUGGGCUGCCCUGCUUCCCAGGCUUGGCUACCUGUCCUUGAAGGUUACUUGCUGGCAUUUCUGUUAAACAAGUUGGCACUUGUUUCCAAGAGAAAAACACCCUGACCAUGGCUUUUUCUGUUUGAAAAGAGGGGCUGUGGAGAAUGAACGAGGACCUAAAACCCAGGGCCUGGUCAUGGAGGCUGGACAGGCCAGUAAAGAGGAACUGGGGUAACGUGCCUCAACAAGGAGAAGGCAGUCUUGUGACCAUCAUAAUAUGACUCAAGCAAAUGAAAGAGAAAGUUUUUUGUUUCA